GUCAGGUUGGCCGAGCGGUCUAAGGCACCAGAUUUAAGCUCUGGUUUCCGAGAGGGAGCGUGGGUUCGAACCCCACACCUGACA
rnacentral:tRNA from 1 species